AUGGAUCCCGACGGGGACGGCUCCUUCCACCGGAAGGAGGCCAUCUCCGCCGUGCAGGACGUCGACCAGUACUACGGCGACGACGACGACUACGACGACCUCUACAACGACGUCAACGUCGGGGACGGCUNNNNNNNNNNNNNNNNNNNNNNNNNNNNNNNNNNNNNNNNNNNNNNNNNNNNNNNNNNGCACCAGCUCCCCCCGCAGCAGGCGCCCCCGCCGCAGCAGCAGCAGCAGGUUCUGCCUACCCCUUCGCUCCCGCUUCCCCCGCCGCCGCCUCCGAUGGGGCACCCGGAGAAGGUCCACAUCCCGGGGGUCGCGUCCGUCCCUGCCCCCAUCCAAGACCGCCCCAACCCGUCCCAUCUCCCGCCGCCGCCUCAGCCUCCCGUCGCCGCGGCACCGCCGCCGCCUCCCCACCACCAGAUCCAGUCGGGAGGAGACGGGUUCCACCGGCAGGGAGGGGGCAACUUCGGGGGAGGACCGAUAGUUGUUGGCAACGGCGGGGGUGGCGACGGCCCUGGCGCUACCACGCUCUUCGUUGGGGACCUCCACUGGUGGACGACGGACGCGGAUCUGGAGGCGGAGCUCGUCAAGUACGGCCAUGUCAAGGAAGUCAGGUUCUUUGAUGAGAAGGCGAGCGGGAAAUCCAAGGGAUAUUGCCAGGUCGAUUUCUUUGACCCUGGCGCUGCUGCUGCCUGCAAGGAGGGCAUGAACGGCCACCCGUUCAAUGGCCGUCCCUGUGUCGUGGCCUUUGCUUCGCCUAACACUGUACGCCGCAUGGGUGAAGCUCAGAUGAAGAACCACCAACCGAUGGGUCAGCAGAAUUCAGGUAUGCAGAAGAGUGGUGGCAGAGGUGGUGGUGGUCCACCUGGAGGCCCGCCUGGGCCUCAGGUUGGAGGAAACUAUGGUGGCCGGGGAGGCGGAGGAGCUGGUGGUGGCGGCGGUGGUGGAGGAGGAGGCGGGGCAGGUGGUGGGAAUUGGGGCAGAGGUCCAGGUGGUGGUGGGAUGGGGGGUAGAGGUCCUGGUGGGAAUAUGAGGAAUCGGAUGGGUCCGGUGGGUGGCCGAGGGAUCAUGGGGAACGGAGGGAUGGUGGCUCCGCCGCCACCAAUGAUGCAUCCCGGAGGGAUGAUGGGGCAGGGAUUUGAUCCCACUGGCUAUGGUGCAGCCAUGGGAAGGAUGGGUGGAGGGUUUGGAGGGUUCCCUGGUGGACCUGGGGGUGCACCGUUCCCAGGCUUGAUGCAGCCAUUCCCACCUGUGGUUGCUCCUCAUGUGAACCCAGCAUUCUUUGGGAGAGGAGGUGGUAUGGGUGCCGGGGGUGUUGGAAUGUGGCCAGACCCAAGCAUGGGUGGUGGUUGGGGAGGUGAGGAACAAUCAAGCUAUGGGGAUGAUGCAGCAUCUGAUCAGCACUAUGGAGAAGGUGGAAGCCAUGGUAAAGAGAGGCCACCAGAGCGGGAAUGGUCAGGUGCACCAGAAAGGAGGCGGGAGAGGGAAAAGGAUUUGCCCCCACCGCCAGAAUUGCCGGAGAGAAGGCACCGUGAUGAAAGGGAUAUGGGUCGUGAGAGGGAAAGAGAGAGGGACAGAGGAGGAGAUAGGGAAAGGGAGAGGGACAGAGGAGAUAGGGAAAGGGAGAGGGAUAGAGGAGAUAGGGACAGACACAGGGAUGACAGAGAUCGCCAUGGUGAUUAUCACAGACACAGGGAGCGUGAUUCUGAUCGUACUGAAGACUGGGAUAGAGGAAGAUCAUCUGGGAGACGAAGCAGGUCAAGGGAGGUUGAUCACUCAAAGCGGCGACGAAUGUCGCACGAGUGA
rnacentral:rRNA from 1 species